UUGCUUCGGCAGCAUAUAUACUAAAAUUGGAACGGUACAGAGAAGAUUAGCAUGGCCCCUGUGCAAAAGGUUUUAACUUCACAGCAUGCAGUACGCUUAAAUAAA
ensembl:snRNA U6 U6 spliceosomal RNA